rnacentral:rRNA from 1 species
ACUCAAAUGAAUUGACGGGGGCCCGCACAAGCGGUGGAGCAUGUUGUUUAAUACGUCACUAACCGUAGAACCUUACCAGGGUUUGACAUGGCGAGACAUCCUAUGAAAGUAGGCUUCCCCGCAAGGGGACUCGCACACAGGUGUUGCAUGGCUGUCGUCAGCUCGUGUCGUGAGAUGUUGGGUUAAGUCCCGCAACGAGCGCAACCCUCAUCCCAUGUUGCCAGCGAGUAAAGUCGGGAACUCUUGGGAAACUGCCGGGGUAACUCGGAGGAAGGUGAGGAUGACGUCAAGUCAGCAUGGCCCUUACAUCCUGGGCUACAAACAUGCUACAAUGGACGGUAAACAGAGGGAUCCGAGACCGCGAGGUGGAGGCAAUCUCAGAAAUCCGUUCUCAGUUCGGAUUGCAGGCUGCAACUCGCCUGCAUGAAGCCGGAAUCGCUAGUAAACGCAGGUCAGCUAAACUGCGUUGAAUACGUUCCCGGGCCUUGUACACACCGCCCGU